UACGGGGGGGGGCAAGCGUUGUUCGGAAUUACUGGGCGUAAAGGGCUCGUAGGCGGCCAACUAAGUCAGACGUGAAAUCCCUAGGCUCAACCUAGGAACUGCGUCUGAUACUGGAUGGCUUGAAUCCGGGAGAGGGAUGCGGAAUUCCAGGUGUAGCGGUGAAAUGCGUAGAUAUCUGGAGGAACACCGGUGGCGAAGGCGGCAUCCUGGACCGGCAUUGACGCUGAGGAGCGAAAGCCAGGGGAGCAAACGGG
rnacentral:rRNA from 1 species